UACGGAGGGUGCAAGCGUUAUCCGGAUUCACUGGGUUUACAGGGAGCGCAGGCGGAUUUGUAAGUCAGUGGUGAAAGGCUUAAGCUUAACUUGGGAACUGCCAUUGAUACUAUAAGUCUUGAAUGUUGUUGAGGUUUGCGGAAUGGGUCAUGUAGCGGUGAAAUGCAUAGAUAUGACCCGGAACACCUAUUGCGAAGGCAGCUCGCUACACAUAUAUUGACUCUGAGGCACGAAAGCGUGGGGAUCAAACAGG
rnacentral:rRNA from 1 species